ACAAAGUCAGAAAGAUCUAGAAAGGGCCUUAGGAAUUACCUCAUCCAGUCCCCUCGCUUUGCAGAUGAGAAGCCUGGGACCCAGACGGCUAAAGGGACUUGCCCAAGGUGACACAUCUCCAUAGUGUCAAAGUCUCCAGGCCUCUCACCCCAGAGUGACUUGGUGACAGCCUUUUCCACCCCCAAGCCCUCAAGUGUUCGUGAGUUCUCAAAGAAUUUGGAAAAUCAAUGUGCUGUUAUUCUAAUUUUGGUCUAUCUGCAUAUGUGACUUUGUGCUUUGGUGCUAAGAAUAGAAGACAUCAAAAUAGCGCUCUCAGCAACGCUGAGUGUACAGAAAAUUGAAGCGGAAAUGGAAAGGGUGCCCUCAGAGAGGAUGUCACAUCACCAGACUUUGGUUUUGAAGCCACCAGAAAGCAGAGAGAAGCUGUUUUUUUGAAGAGAAUUUCUUCAGCUACUGAAGGUUGGCUGAGUGUGCAUGAAGGCCUGAGCAGCAAUGCCACAUGCCUGGCAGAUGAUGGGCUCUGACCCAAAGAUAUGAGGUUACAGCUCUGGGGCAGACGAGCAGCCUGAGCUCUUUUCUCUGCCUGAUGGCCCCAGUGCCCGACUCUCUGAGGAAACGAACAGAUGGUCACCACAAGAGUCACUGAAUCUCCACAUUCAUUCAUUUUUUGGCGACCUUGGAGUUUUCCAGCUUCGAGCCAAAGAGACCAAGCCUGAAGCUCCCUUCCAGCCCCCCUACUUCAGACCUGUAACUGAAUCCUGAUAGGUCAUCUCAGGCAGACCGGUGAAGGGGAAGAUAAGAAAGGUGAGCUCUGGGCAUGUGGUCAGCUCUACACAGUGUCUGUCAUUGCAAAAACCCUGGAAUAAAAAGAAUCUAUUGUUUCCAGGAAAUGGGGAAAAGAUUUAUAAGGAGAAAAGUGUAGCCUUAAGGAAAGAGUAGGGGUUUAUGCAGCAGAGAAGGGGGAGUUGGGUGGUCCCUGUGGGUGUGGGGGGGUAUGAGUGAGGCAUGCUGGGAGAUGGGUCUGGAAAGCAGCUGGCAUGUGGUCCUGGAGCCACCUAAAAGGUUUUUAAGCUGUGGAGUAUCAAAAUAAGAUUUGCAUUUUAGAUAGAUAACUUUAGUAACCAGAUGGAGGAUAGAUCUAAAG